UCCGCGACGGCAGGAGCAUUCUGCAGUUGUAUAAUCAGAGCAAGUCGAAGGAUCUGGUUCUGUGGAGCGCGGCGAUGUCGGCGCUGUCCAAGAACAGCCGGCCGCAGGAGGCCCUCGACGCCUUCCGACAGAUGCUGCGCUGCGGCAACACAACGCCGAACUUCGUGAGCGCCAUGGCGGCUCUGUCGGCGUGCGGAUGUCUGAAAGCCCUAUCGCACUGUCGGGAACUCCAUGGAUACGCCGUCAGGAACUUUGAGGCAGAAACAAACCUCCAGAACUCGCUGGUCGACGUGUACGCCAAAUGCGACAGGCUCGACGUUUCCAUGGCGAUCUUUGGCAGCAUGGAAGCAAAAG
rnacentral:lncRNA from 1 species